rnacentral:rRNA from 1 species
AACUCAAAGGAAUUGACGGGGGCCCGCACAAGCGGAGGAACAUGUGGUUUAAUUCGAUGAUACGCGAGGAACCUUACCCGGGCUUGAAAUGUACCUGACCGUCCUUGAAAAGGGACUUCUAGCAAUAGCAGGUAUGUAGGUGCUGCAUGGUUGUCGUCAGCUCGUGCCGUGAGGUGUCGGCUUAAGUGCCAUAACGAGCGCAACCCACAUUAUUAGUUACUAACAGGUUAAGCUGAGGACUCUAAUAAGACUGCCGUCGUAAGAUGCGAGGAAGGUGUGGAUGACGUCAAAUCAGCACGGCCCUUACGUCCGGGGCGACACACGUGUUACAAUGGGAGGUACAAAGGGCUGCUACCUGGUGACAGGAUGCUAAUCCCCAAAGCCUCUCCCAGUUCGGAUCGGAGUCNNUAACUCGACUCCGUGAAGCUGGAUUCGCUAGUAAUCGCGCAUCAGCCAUGGCGCGGUGAAUACGUUCCCGGGCCUUGUACACACCGCCCG